CAUCGGCGUGGGAACUCUUAGCCAUUGUACAUCAACAGAUGACAGUUACUAUGGUUUGAGUGAAGUAUUCGGGACAACUUGGAGAUGACUCAAGGCACGGGUUAACUGGUCAAACUUAGCCCACUAAGUCAGCUCGGUCUACGGCGGGUAUUAGUGGGCACAGAUUCUAAAACCAACGUAAGGGAAGGAUUUGUCAAAGCUUAACAGAGAUCCUUCAAGGUUUUUUUUAUGUGAGUGGUAAUGCUCUUGAUAGUUGCCUAAAGUCAGCGAACUGUGUAGCAAUAGAACCAUGGAAAUGUGAAGUUGAAGACACAACACUUCUAGAUCUUAUACCGUUUCUUGAAUGAUUUAUGAUGAUCCAGGAGAAGGCGGGAGCAGAAGAAACAAGGUCGUCUGUGGCGUUUUUGAUGUGAUCGUUUCUAGAAAAGAUGCAGACAAGUAAAUCUAUUAUAUAGAUUUGAGAUUGAAUAUGAUUACAACUAUAAAGAUUGUUAGUUGGUUUAACUUUUAGAUCAUGUCAUGAAGAGUAGAAAACCUUUAUUUAUAAUAUAACACCAAAUGUCAACCACUAAAAUUGACUCAAUUUGUAACAUUAUUUAAUCUUCUCCAACGUUAAAAUUCACUCGAAACACAUUAAUUUUUGUCUAAAACACUUAACUUUGCUAUGAGUCACUUGACUUAUUUGUUCAUACGAAAUUUCGUAGUUCGUAUAGCCUUGUCUAAAUUUGAUGUUAUAUUGAUUGUUAGAGUUAUAAUUGAAUAAUUUUUAAUUGUUAAAUUUAGA